AUGAAUAUUUUGUGUUUCAAUUAUCGCGGAAUUGGGCAGCCGGAGACAGUUCAUGAAAUAUGUGACCUCAUUAGGUUACACCGCCCUGCCUUAGUUUUUCUCACGGAGACUAAGGUGUCGGACAAGAGAGCGCAGGAUUUGAAGCUUCGUUUCGGUUUUAGCAAUGCUUUCAGAGUUAAAGCAAGGGGGCUGAGUGGUGGGCUAGUUCUUUACUGG
rnacentral:rRNA from 1 species